CCCUUAGAUGUUCUGGGCCGCACACGCGCUACACUGAAGGAGGCAGCGUGUACUCCUGGAUCGAAAGAUUUGGGUAACCCGCGAAUCUCCUUCGUGCUAGGGAUUGAGGUUUGCAAUUAUCCUUCAUGAACGAGGAAUUCCCAGUAAGUGCAAGUCAUAAGCUUGCGCUGACUACGUCCCUGCCCUUUGUACACACCGCCCGUCGCUACUACCGAUUGAAUGAUUUAGUGAGGACUUCGGACUGGGACCGAUGCGGCUUUCAGGCUGCGUCGGUAUUCUGGAAAGAUGUCCAAACUGUAUCAUUUAGAGGAAGUAAAAGUCGUAACA
rnacentral:rRNA from 1 species